UACGUAGGGUGCAAGCGUUGUCCGGAAUUAUUGGGCGUAAAGAGCUCGUAGGCGGUCUGUCGCGUCGGCUGUGAAAUCCCGGAGCUCAACUCCGGGUCUGCAGUCGAUACGGGCAAACUGGAGUACUGCAGGGGAGACUGGAAUUCCUGGUGUAGCGGUGAAAUGCGCAGAUAUCAGGAGGAACACCGGUGGCGAAGGCGGGGUCUCUGGGCAGUAACUGACGGUGAGGAGCGAAAGCGUGGGGAGCGAACAGG
rnacentral:rRNA from 1 species